UAAAAAAAUAAUGAACAGUCCAAAAAUGUCGAUGCAGCUGGAGAACAAAAUCGUAGACGACGACGACGAUGUAUCCGCUGCAGACUUUUACCAUUUGUCACGGGUCCGCCAUCGCCACCGACAAGCCGUACCUACAGAGCUAUUUCAUAUCCGGACGCGCGGGCGUAUAGUGUAAUAUAUUUACGCAGUUCACAACACGCCAUAAUACAGAAUAAAAACAUUGACUCGUAAAAAUAUACUGAAAUCAUAUAGUCAACGGUGUACAGUCAUCAAUAAUUUGUAUAUAACAUGUAUUAUAUUUACUAAUGGCCAAUGGGUAAUAAUUGUUUUGUG